rnacentral:rRNA from 1 species
UUGUCCGGAUUUAUUGGGCGUAAAGAGCGUGUAGGCGGUUAGGUAGGUCCGUUGUGAAAACUCGAGGCUCAACCUCGAGACGCCGAUGGAAACCAUCUGACUAGAGUCCGGAAGAGGAGAGUGGAAUUCCUGGUGUAGCGGUGAAAUGCGCAGAUAUCAGGAAGAACACCCGUGGCUAAGGCGGCUCUCUAGUACGUGACUGACGCUGAGACGCGAAAGCGUGGGGAGCGAACAGG